GACGAACGCUGGCGGCGUGCUUCAUACAUGCAAGUCGAACGAGAACCGAUAGCUUGCUAUCGGGGAAAGUGGCGGACGGGUGAGUAACGCGUGAGGAACCUGCCUCGGAGUGGGGAAUAACAGUUGGAAACAGCUGCUAAUACCGCAUAAUGCAACGGAAUCGCAUGACUCUGUUGCCAAAGAUUUAUCGCUCUGAGAUGGCCUCGCGUCUGAUUAGCUAGUUGGCGGGGUAACGGCCCACCAAGGCGACGAUCAGUAGCCGGACUGAGAGGUUGGCCGGCCACAUUGGGACUGAGACACGGCCCAG
rnacentral:rRNA from 1 species